rnacentral:rRNA from 1 species
UACGUAGGGCGCAAGCGUUGUCCGGAAUUAUUGGGCGUAAAGAGCUCGUAGGCGGUUCGUCGCGUCGGCUGUGAAAACCCGGAGCUCAACUCCGGGCCUGCAGUCGAUACGGGCGGACUAGAGUUCGGCAGGGGAGACUGGAAUUCCUGGUGUAGCGGUGAAAUGCGCAGAUAUCAGGAGGAACACCGGUGGCGAAGGCGGGUCUCUGGGCCGAUACUGACGCUGAGGAGCGAAAGCGUGGGGAGCGAACAGG